rnacentral:rRNA from 1 species
GACGAACGCUGGCGGCGUGCCUAAUACAUGCAAGUCGAGCGGACAGAUGGGAGCUUGCUCCCUGAUGUUAGCGGCGGACGGGUGAGUAACACGUGGGUAACCUGCCUGUAAGACUGGGAUAACUCCGGGAAACCGGGGCUAAUACCGGAUGGUUGUUUGAACCGCAUGGUUCAAACAUAAAAGGUGGCUUUGGCUACCACUUACAGAUGGACCCGCGGCGCAUUAGCUAGUUGGUGAGGUAACGGCUCACCAAGGCAACGAUGCGUAGCCGACCUGAGAGGGUGAUCGGCCACACUGGGACUGAGACACGGCCCAGACUCCUACGGGAGGCAGCAGUAGGGAAUCUUCCGCAAUGGACGAAAGUCUGACGGAGCAACGCCGCGUGAGUGAUGAAGGUUUUCGGAUCGUAAAGCUCUGUUGUUAGGGAAGAACAAGUACCGUUCGAAUAGGGCGGUACCUUGACGGUA